rnacentral:rRNA from 1 species
GCUGCGCAGCUACCAUGCAGUCGAGCGGAACGAAGAGGUGCUUGCACCUCUGGCGUCGAGCGGCGGACGGGUGAGUAAUGCUUGGGAAUAUGCCUUAUGGUGGGGGACAACAGUUGGAAACGACUGCUAAUACCGCAUGAUGUCUACGGACCAAAGUGGGGGACCUUCGGGCCUCACGCCAUAAGAUUAGCCCAAGUGGGAUUAGCUAGUUGGUGAGGUAAUGGCUCACCAAGGCGACGAUCCCUAGCUGGUUUGAGAGGAUGAUCAGCCACACUGGGACUGAGACACGGCCCAGACUCCUACGGGAGGCAGCAGUGGGGAAUAUUGCACAAUGGGCGCAAGCCUGAUGCAGCCAUGCCGCGUGUGUGAAGAAGGCCUUCGGGUUGUAAAGCACUUUCAGUAAGGAGGAAAGGUUAAGUGUUAAUAGCACUUAGCUGUGACGUUACUUACAGAAGAAGCACCGGCUAACUCCGUGCCAGCAGCCGCGGUAAUACGGAGGGUGCGAGCGUUAAUCGGAAUUACUGGGCGUAAAGCGUACGCAGGCGGUUUGUUAAGCGAGAUGUGAAAGCCCCGGGCUCAACCUGGGAACUGCAUUUCGAACUGGCAAACUAGAGUGUGAUAGAGGGUGGUAGAAUUUCAGGUGUAGCGGUGAAAUGCGUAGAGAUCUGAAGGAAUACCGAUGGCGAAGGCAGCCACCUGGGUCAACACUGACGCUCAUGUACGAAAGCGUGGGGAGCAAACAGGAUUAGAUAGCC